UACGGAGGGGGCAAGCGUUGUUCGGAAUUACUGGGCGUAAAGGGCGCGUAGGCGGCCGCCUAAGUCAGACGUGAAAUCCCUCGGCUCAACCGGGGAACUGCGUCUGAUACUGGGUUGCUUGAAUCCGGGAGAGGGAUGCGGAAUUCCAGGUGUAGCGGUGAAAUGCGUAGAUAUCUGGAGGAACACCGGUGGCGAAGGCGGCAUCCUGGACCGAUACUGACGCUGAGGAGCGAAAGCCAGGGGAGCAAACGGG
rnacentral:rRNA from 1 species